rnacentral:rRNA from 1 species
AGUGGACGCUGGCGGUAGGCCUAACACAUGCAAGUCGAACGGCAGCACAGGAGAGCUUGCUCUCUGGGUGGCGAGUGGCGGACGGGUGAGGAAUACAUCGGAAUCUACUUUUUCGUGGGGGAUAACGUAGGGAAACUUACGCUAAUACCGCAUACGACCUACGGGUGAAAGCAGGGGAUCUUCGGACCUUGCGCGAUUGAAUGAGCCGAUGUCGGAUUAGCUAGUUGGCGGGGUAAAGGCCCACCAAGGCGACGAUCCGUAGCUGGUCUGAGAGGAUGAUCAGCCACACUGGAACUGAGACACGGUCCAGACUCCUACGGGAGGCAGCAGUGGGGAAUAGUGGACAAUGGGCGCAAGCCUGAUCCAGCCAUACCGCGUGGGUGAAGAAGGCCUUCGGGUUGUAAAGCCCUUUUGUUGGGAAAGAAAUCCAGCUGGUUAAUACCCGGUUGGGAUGACGGUACCCAAAGAAUAAGCACCGGCUAACUCCGUGCCAGCCGCCGCGGUAA